rnacentral:rRNA from 1 species
AGUAACGCGUGAGCAAUCUGCCUUUGGAUGGGGGAUAACAACCGGAAACGGCUGCUAAUACCGCAUAAUGCAAUGGGACCGCAUGGUUCUGCUGCCAAAGAUUUAUUGUCCAAAGAUGAGCUCGCGUCUGAUUAGCCAGUUGGCGGGGUAACGGCCCACCAAAGCGACGAUCAGUAGCCGGACUGAGAGGUUGAACGGCCACAUUGGGACUGGGACACGGCCCAGACUCCUACGGAAGGCAGCAG